UACGGAGGAUCCAAGCGUUAUCCGGAAUUACUGGGCGUAAAGAGUUGCGUAGGCGGCAUAGUAAGCAGGUAGUGAAAUGACGGGGCUCAACCCCGUGUCCAUUAUCUGAACUGCUAAGCUAGAGUAUGAGAGAGGUACCUGGAAUUUCCUGUGUAGGAGUGAAAUCCGUAGAUAUAGGAAGGAACACCGAUGGCGUAGGCAGGGUACUGGCUCAUUACUGACGCUCAGGCACGAAAGCGUGGGGAGCGACCGGG
rnacentral:rRNA from 1 species